rnacentral:rRNA from 1 species
AACGAACGCUGGCGGCAUGCCUAACACAUGCAAGUCGAACGAGACCUUCGGGUCUAGUGGCGCACGGGUGCGUAACACGUGGGAAUUUGCCUCGGGGUAUGGAAUAACUCAGGGAAACUUGAGCUAAUACCAUAUAAUGUCUUCGGACCAAAGAUUUAUCGCCCUGAGAUAAGCCCGCGUAGGAUUAGCUAGUUGGUGGGGUAAAGGCUCACCAAGGCGACGAUCCUUAGCUGGUCUGAGAGGAUGAUCAGCCACACUGGGACUGAGACACGGCCCAGACUCCUACGGGAGGCAGCAGUGGGGAAUAUUGGACAAUGGGCGAAAGCCUGAUCCAGCCAUGCCGCGUGCAGGAUGACGGUCCUAUGGAUUGUAAACUGCUUUUGUACAGGAAGAAACACUGGUUCGUGAACCAGCUUGACGGUACUGUAAGAAUAAGGAUCGGCUAACUCCGUGCCAGCAGCCGCGGUAAAGUGACU